UGGGGAAUCUUGCGCAAUGGGCGAAAGCCUGACGCAGCGACACCGCGUGAGUGAGGAAGGUCUUCGGAUUGUAAAGCUCUGUCGGCAGGAAAGAUGGGAUGUCGUGCUAAUACCACGAUGUCUUGACGGUACCUGCAAAGGAAGCACCGGCUAACUCUGUGCCAGCAGCCGCGGUAAUACAGAGGGUGCAAGCGUUGUUCGGAUUUACUGGGCGUAAAGGGCGCGUAGGCGGCUCUUCAAGUCAGCCGUGAAAUCUCCGGGCUUAACCUGGAAGGGUCGGUUGAUACUGUCGAGCUAGAGUGUAGAAGAGGCAACUGGAAUUCCGUGUGUAGCGGUGAAAUGCGUAGAUAUACGGAGGAACACCUGCGGCGAAGGCGGGUUGCUGGGCUAACACUGACGCUGAGGCGCGAAAGCUAGGGGUAG
rnacentral:rRNA from 1 species